UAGAAGUGUCUACCCAUUCCACUUUGACUUGAUUCUAUCAAACAAUCUUGUGGGUCGACUGUGGGCAUUAAGACCCAAAUUGAAGACGCUAUUAAGGAUUGGCUAAAAUAUGCGACAGUCAGAGUAUUUUGAGUGGAG